AUAUACAGCCUGAUUCUCCAUCUGUUAGCCCUGGUGAUGCAGCUCCUCUGUUCAGGGCCUGUUUGUGGCUGAAAUGUCACAGCCCAGGGCCUGGUCGUGGUUGAAAUGUCAUCUCCCUGAGCAGCGCCUGAAAGCUCAGGGAGUAUGAGGUGAAUGAAGACAGAACUGUGAAGACCAAGAAACAAGGAAAUGGAGGAAUCUGAAGGUCUGAAAGUGUAUCUGCAUCCUACAGGUAUAGGACCUGCCCAGGUAGAACUGUAUAGCAGCAGAGCUGGUUUCUUCCAGUAACAGCUGCUGUUAGAAUACCCAAGAGCUCUGUCAUGCAUAAAGCAAUAGGCUGAGGGAGAAUAAAUGAGGCAAACACCUGAGCACUGGAAAGGAAUACAGCAUGGUUUGCCCUAUUCCUGAAGGUACUGCUUUUUAUUCUAGGUUAUGGAUGGCUUCUUAUCAUAAGAGUAACGCUUUUUUGAUCUCCUCUCAUGAAAGACUGAAGACUGGUAGCAAAAAUUCUCCUCCGGAAUAGAACUGUUUCAGCACUAUUUCCUCAGAGCAAAACAUGUCUUUAGUAACAGUCAGCUUCAUUCUCGUCUAUGGUGCCCACAGUAGCAAGGAUGUCCUCUAAAAGGGACUGAGGGCUUUUCUCUAUGUGGUCACUACUUUUAUUUAGUUCAUCAUGUAGUUCUUCUAAGUCUAUCGUUCCCAAAGCUAGCAUCAUGCUCUCUGGAUCUUCAAAGUCCACCCCAUUACCACCAUCUGUUGGGAAGUCCUGAGCCAGAGAACCCUGCCUUAGAGUCCUUUGCAACCAAGGAAUGCCAUGUCCAACAGAUACAUCUCCAGCUCCUUGGCAAUCUUUCAGCAAGCCACUUGGAGAGAGACUAGCUCUUAAGACGAGCAGUAUAUCACAGGCUUUCUGACCCACUGGCUUGUCAUAGUCACACAAAGACCAAAACAAAAACCUGAACAGUUUUGCUCGGCAAAAUAUCUGCAGCGACUCAUUCUGCUGAAUGGAACUAGUGACUGUGGAUGAGGCAGCAGCAGAGGGGUAUUUAGGAAGGCCCGCUCGGCAAAGUGUCUGGACACAGAAAACUUCAACCAGUUCCAGGCCACCAAUUCUGACUUCCCAGUCUAAGUCACGCUCUACAGUUUGGAUCACUCUAGAGACAAACUUCUCUGUAUCUUCCGCUUGAUCUGUGCAGCCUUGUUUCAGCCACUUGGUGAAGAUGCUGAUCACAGCCCUCCGAGGAAAGCUCUCUGGGUCUGUCGACAAGAUAUCCUGAAGCUUUGCUGUAGUGUCCUAAAUGUCGGAAGACAAAGUACAAAGAGGGGAGGAACAUGCACACACAAAAAAAUCUAAUAUAUAUAGAUCAGAAAAAUUCAGUCCCUUUUCACUGCUGGUUGUGUAAUAUGCCUGCAGUAGACUGCAGGUGACUUAGAAAGUUGUAAUACACCUGUAAACUGAUGUGUGGUUCUGCUCGAGUCUGCAGUGGACUACACAAAGUUAUCAUACCUCUUUAUUGUACUGAUUCCCUGCGACAGGUGUCUCCGGAAGAGAGUAAGUAAUGAAGGUCAAGUGUCCCACAGCAGUCACAGCGCUCGCUCGCACAUAGCUCUCUGGAUCCUCAAGAAGAUUUUCUGUAAGCUUUGGCACUUCUGAAGACAGGAGGGACUCCUUGAACUCAUCCUGGUCUGCAAGCAAGACAGCAAUCCAAAGAAGCGAGGCUUUACUCUCUCAGAAUAUGAAGUUUUCUCCAAUGCAAACAGUUCUUUGUGUCAUAUAACGAUGCCUGCUGACUGCAGGGACAGCUGCCAGUUGAGUUGAGCCACUGCAGAGAGCAGGCAGCUGCUCACAGGAGCACAGACACCCUGUGUAAGGCUUCCUGUUUCGCAGCAGCUUGACGACUUCCAGUCAAGCCCUGCUUAAUGCUAGAGUUUGGACAAAUCUACCUGCAGUUGUUCUAAUGGUGAGAAAAGACUUGCUUCAGGUAAAUGGCCACAUGGCUUCAGCUCCAUCAAACUUUUGCUUAAAGGUAGAAAAAAUAUUGUCCUCCCUUAUUGGUUUUGAGGCAUACGGCAAAGAAAAAAAAUGCAAUUACAGCAGUAUCACGGGAAAAGGCUGCAGGGUAGAAUGCUAAUAGAGCUGAGUGUGCUGGAUACUUCCUCUGUGACCUGGGGACAGCAGUGGGAGACAACAUCCUCCUCUAUUCUAACAUCACAGAGCUACUGUAGGAGAAUUAAUGUUACCUUAGUGCUACCCACUGCGGUGCUUGAGCUACCAGUAAAGCGGAGAAGCAGUAGCUAAUUCAAAGCAUGCAAAAUAGACCUAGGCUUUCAGAGCCUUCUAUAUCACAGCCCCCAGCCUGCUGAGUGGAAUCUGUUUGUUUCCACUGCUGAGCAAACUCGGUAGAAGGAAAGUUAUUAUCUGCUUAAGCACUGUCACCUCCUCUGACAUAUGUCUCAACAGAGAUGACUGUCUCAACACCCCUCAGCUUAACUUGCCAAAACUACCAUUAAGGGAGACACAGCAAUCAGAGUUCUACAGAAAAGCAGGGUAAAUUUAUCAAUCUUCUUGUCAGAUUUUUAUCAUGAUCUGAGAGUAAAAGGUUGAACUUUUUUUUUUUCUUUCUUACCCCUGCAGUUACAGGUCAGAGAUGCUGCACAAGCCUUAUUGGCUUCCACAGCAUUAGAAGAAAUACUCCUCUAAUCUGAACAAUUAAAUUUCUGCACAUACCUCUCAUGCUUUUAAUCAAGGAGGUGAGGAACUCCAGAGAAGAAUCUCGUACUUCCCAACAAGGACUGCACAAACGCUUCUGAAGCACCAGAAACACAUCUAUGAAAGCCAAGUGACAAGUUUGAAUGAACAUGAAAGGUAACAAACCUAACCGGAGCAAUCUAUGUACAACCUCUGCAUCACUUUAUCUGAUGCAAUCCUUUUUGUUGAUGCUGUGUGCUUCUCCCGGAGUUCUUCAAAGCACUAUCUGAGCAGAUAAACCUAAAUUCACCAUAACUGCAAAUAAACAAAUCCUAAGUGCUUUGAGUGGGAAAGGUAGGUGAGAGCAGAUUUCAGAUGUACCACUAGCUGCGGUUUGUCCUAACUAGAAUAGCUUUGUUACCUUGCAAAAUCUUCUCAGUUUGCCACUGAUUGUUGAAGCAGGACAUUUCUGGCAAGCGUGCCAACCAUUUGGACAUAGCUUGAAAUGACUUCUUCAGUACCUGAGGCAAUAUAAAGCAGAUUUACUAUAUUGCAGAAGGCAGUGUUGUUACUUUUACGCUAGAUAAAAUUUGUUUUGGCUCAGGAUUACAGAGAAAUUCUCAGAGGAAACAAAACAUAUGCUUCCACACUAAGAAGAAAGCCACAAAUAAAUAGUGCGUAUAUAACGUUAUAACAUCUCUAGCAGACUCCUAGAUAAUGCCUGUUCUCAAAUUUAAAAACAAACUGGUAGUGUCUCCAGCUUUUGAUUUGCACUUCUCACCCAAGUUAUUGGGACAAAAAGCAAAAAAACAAAAAAUUAAUGCAAGGUUGUAUCAAGUUGAGUAUGUUGGUCCUACUCUCAGAUGUGAGGUCUCCUGUCUUUUCAGGAACACCAGAUUUACUGGCUCAUUACUCGCUCACUAGUAUUUUAGUGAUUUCCCGCAAGACACCCAGAACAAGUCUUCCAGAUAGUCUAACAGAAACUGUGGUAAGAAACAACUACUGUCACACUAUUUCUUAAGACUACAUCCCACUGGGUAAGCUAAUAGAAUUGGCUUUUUCUUUAGUGUUAUACUCACAGUAGGGCUGGUGUUUGGACUCUCCAGGUAUACCAGAAGGAUGUCAAAUAGACUUCCUAUGACUGUGUCACAGCCUGAAACAUUUAAAAAACAAACCCAAACUGAAAAAUCAAUAUUGAGACGAGGGGACAAUUCAACUCUUGUAACACAGAAAGAAAUAUCAUAAUGCUGUUUUACAGAAUAAAGUACAGUCCUCAAAAGGAGAAAUAUUCAACUUGUCACAACCACUAAGCUUCUUCAAAUGCAGCAUUACCUGACCUAAAUUAUCAACAGAAAGUAAGGUUAGCCAAGACAGUAGGAAGAAUGGGGAAAACCAAAUGCAUUUCAAACAAAUGGAAUUAAUAGUCUUCAUUCAGAAAGACUGGUGAAGGGGGAUUGAAAAUUCUGUGAUUAUAGAUUAGUCAAGUAACUUAAAAUGAAGAGCUAGGAUUAACUCACCUUUCCGUUCAGAAAGUGCUGCCAAGGCAUCCAGAGCUGACUUCUGUACUCUGCCGCAACCAAUCAAAAUUUGGCUUAUCUUGCUUCCCAGAGAAGUAGCUGGAAUCAGGAGGCCACUACAGAAUUGCAAUAUUGUCACGAAAGAACGUAGCAAAGCUGUAUAGGGUAAAUCCAC